rnacentral:rRNA from 1 species
AUUGAACGCUGGCGGCAGGCCUAACACAUGCAAGUCGAGCGGAUGAAGGGAGCUUGCUCCUGGAUUCAGCGGCGGACGGGUGAGUAAUGCCUGGGAAUCUGCCUGGUAGUGGGGGAUAACGUCCGGAAACGGGCGCUAAUACCGCAUACGUCCUGAGGGAGAAAGUGGGGGAUCUUCGGACCUCACGCUAUCAGAUGAGCCUAGGUCGGAUUAGCUAGUUGGUGGGGUAAAGGCCUACCAAGGCGACGAUCCGUAACUGGUCUGAGAGGAUGAUCAGUCAAACUGGGACUGGAAACCGGGCCCAGCUCCCUGGGGGGGGAAGGGGGGGGAAAUUUUGGAAAGGGGGCGAAACCUGAACCCAGCCAAGCCGGGGGUGGAAAAAAGGUUUUGGGUUUGUAAAGCCUUUUAAUUUGGAGGAAGGGGAAGAAAGUUAAUACCUUGCUUUUUGACGGUUCCCAACAAAAAAAGCACGGCUAAAUUUGUU